GAGUCUUAACCGGGCGUUAAGUUGCAGGGUAUAGACCCGAAACCCGGUGAUCUAGCCAUGGGCAGGUUGAAGGUUGGGUAACACUAACUGGAGGACCGAACCGACUAAUGUUGAAAAAUUAGCGGAUGACCUGUGGCUGGGGGUGAAAGGCCAAUCAAACCGGGAGAUAGCUGGUUCUCCCCGAAAGCUAUUUAGGUAGCGCCUCGUGAAUUCAUCUCCGGGGGUAGAGCACUGUUUCGGCUAGGGGGCCAUCCCGGCUUACCAACCCGAUGCAAACUGCGAAUACCGGAGAAUGUUAUCACGGGAGACACACGGCGGGUGCUAACGUCCGUCGUGAAGAGGGAAACAACCCAGACCGCCAGCUAAGGUCCCAAAGUCAUGGUUAAGUGGGAAACGAUGUGGGAAGGCCCAGACAGCCAGGAUGUUGGCUUAGAAGCAGCCAUCAUUUAAAGAAAGCGUAAUAGCUCACUGGUCGAGUCGGCCUGCGCGGAAGAUGUAACGGGGCUAAACCAUGCACCGAAGCUGCGGCAGCGAACGUAUCACUUAAAGCGAUUCAGCGGGUUACGAUUGACGGAGCGAAGCGACGUCAAAGCGUAUACAAAGUCGAGUCGGUUUAAGGAUACGUUCGUUGGGUAGGGGAGCGUUCUGUAAGCCUGUGAAGGUGUGUCGUGAGGCAUGCUGGAGGUAUCAGAAGUGCGAAUGCUGACAUAAGUAACGAUAAAGCGGGUGAAAAGCCCGCUCGCCGGAAGACCAAGGGUUCCUGUCCAACGUUAAUCGGGGCAGGGUGAGUCGACCCCUAAGGCGAGGCCGAAAGGCGUAGUCGAUGGGAAACGGGUUAAUAUUCCCGUACUUGGUGUUACUGCGAAGGGGGGACGGAGAAGGCUAUGUUGGCCGGGCGACGGUUGUCCCGGUUUAAGCGUGUAGGUGUGUGUUCCAGGUAAAUCCGGUUCACUUUAACACUGAGGCGUGACGACGAGGCACUACGGUGCUGAAGCAACAAAUGCCCUGCUUCCAGGAAAAGCCUCUAAGCAUCAGGUAACAUCAAAUCGUACCCCAAACCGACACAGGUGGUCAGGUAGAGAAUACCAAGGCGCUUGAGAGAACUCGGGUGAAGGAACUAGGCAAAAUGGUGCCGUAACUUCGGGAGAAGGCACGCUGACACGUAGGUGAAGUGAUUUACUCAUGGAGCUGAAGUCAGUCGAAGAUACCAGCUGGCUGCAACUGUUUAUUAAAAACACAGCACUGUGCAAACACGAAAGUGGACGUAUACGGUGUGACGCCUGCCCGGUGCCGGAAGGUUAAUUGAUGGGGUCAGCGCAAGCGAAGCUCCUGAUCGAAGCCCCGGUAAACGGCGGCCGUAACUAUAACGGUCCUAAGGUAGCGAAAUUCCUUGUCGGGUAAGUUCCGACCUGCACGAAUGGCGUAAUGAUGGCCAGGCUGUCUCCACCCGAGACUCAGUGAAAUUGAACUCGCUGUGAAGAUGCAGUGUACCCGCGGCAAGACGGAAAGACCCCGUGAACCUUUACUAUAGCUUGACACUGAACAUUGAGCCUUGAUGUGUAG
rnacentral:rRNA from 1 species